CGUUCUACGCCUUCGGGCUCCAGACGCGGGUGAGCAAUUUAGCUGCACGCGCACUCACACCCGCUCUCCCCCGCCCCGUCCUCGAAUUAUCGGGACGUGCCCAGCCCCAUGCACCGCAGGUUAACACUAACGCUUGAUUUUGGCCUGUCGUCGGCAGUUACCUGAUCGCAACUCAACCCGUGCAUGUUUCUUAAUGGACUUGUCUGUGCAGUGAAUUAUUCAUAAAGGACAAGACUAAAUAAAAUCCAUAGCAGGAGGUGCCAGGCUUCUGAGCGUGGAACAACACUCGGGAACAUCUAUGCCCAGACGUACAUGUGUGAUAAUAACUUUGGUCAGUCGUGUCUGCCACCUUUCCUCCCUUCUUGCUUCGUCGUUACUAUUAACACUGGUAAGUUCUCCCUUUCUAAAAAUAGCCUGUAUGUGUUCAGAGCGGCGUUACAAAAAAACUGAAACAAUAACAGUUUCAAUCCCAUUCUAUAAAGUAAAGUGAUUUACUUUUUUGUAAACAAACAUUUCAGUAGUUUUCAUUUUCAGGCUGCUUUAAUCUAAGAAAAAAAAUGCACAUCGCCAAAAGAACUUUCAAUCUAAUAUUGUGAAACUUCUAAAACACUUUGCUUGAAUCUUAGACAUUUGUUGAUCGUGAGCAGCCUUCACUGGCCUGUAACUCUUUGAGGAUGUAGCGGACACAUAUAUCAGUUCAGCAGCAAACCAAAAUCAAUGUGUCAAAAUAUAAACGAAAAAUCUAUUCAAAUGAUGAAGUUAUAUCUCAAAACAGCGUAUCUUUAAGCGUUGUAAAAUAACCAAAAUCCAUGGCCUCAAUGAGUUAAUGUGCUCUUUAGUACCAUUCUUCUAUUGUAAUAAUCUAGUUGAUAGCCUCCGGUUCUACAGUGUAUCUUCAACUUUAGAUAGAUCUGGGCGAAAGAAACGCGAACUGAAACCUGAGAUUCCAAUAAAUUGCCCGCAUUACAAUGUUAUAGAGAAGGAUUAACUUAGCAUCAACUGUGUAGGAACAUGCUGGCAUUAAUAUUUCGCUUCACAGUCUACAUCGAAUGAACUUCAGCAACCAGGAACCGAUAGCGCGUUAUUUGAACAGGGUUUUAACAGAGAAUGCUGCUAUGACUCGUUCCUACUGCUUGUCUCAUUGCAUGUUGUUCGCUUUUAAUUAUCUAGAUAUAGUAGAAUCAUGUGUAGACAAUAUCAAGCAAAGUAUUUAUAUCCUCUGUAACAAAACUGAAGGAUCACUUUCAGUCUUUAUGAGAAGCAUAUUAUUAUAUUUUGAAGGGAUAUAAAGUUUUCGCAAAAGAUCAAUGUAUAGCUUGUAAUUUUUACGAAGGAUUCUGAUAUAUUCUCAUAAAAUCACUCAUCAAGUAGCCCCUCCCCC